UGAUUUAGGAUUUAGGAUUUGGUUAGGAUUUGGUUUAGGGUUUAGGAUUUGAUUAGGAUUUGAUUAGGAUUUGGUUAGGAUUUUAUUUAGGAUUUAGGGUUUGAUUAGGGUUUGAUUUAGGAUUUAGGGUUUGGUUAGGGUUUGAUUUAGGAUUUAGGAUUUAGAUUAGGAUUUGAUUUAGGAUUUAGGAUUUGGAUUAGAAUUUGGUUUGGAUUUGAUUUAGGGUUUAGGGUUUGGUUUAGGAUUUGGUUUAGGAUUUGGUUUAGGAUUUGGUUGGGGUUUGGUUUAAGGUUUAUUUAGGAUUUAGGAUUUUAUUAGGAUUUAAGAUUCAAUUAGUUUUGGCCUAAAGUUUGAAUGAAGUUCAAUAGGAUUUCAACUAGAAUUAAAUUAAGAUUGAAUUGAGAUGUAUUUGAGUGAUAUUUGUGUUCUUUCUAAUGUUUCUUUAAGAAUUCUUAUUGUUUGUUUGAAAUUAUUUUGAGAUUUCUUUGAAUUUGAUUAAGCUUGCUUAGCAUUAUUAUGAUCUAAUUAGAACAUUGUUAGUAUUCUAUUAGAAUUAGGAUUUUUUUAUUAUAAUUUCCAUUAUUCCUUCCACAGCCAAGUAUCCGAAGCAUUCUCAAGCAAGACUUCACGUAUUACGACACCAUACACGAUGAUUCGCAAUGCUUUGUAUAAACAAGGCAAAGAUGGCAUUUUAUGAUGCUGUAUCUUUCAAAGUGAAGUAUAGUAGAUACUAGAGGGUUUUCAUUUGGAUAGUUGUAGUGAUUAUUUUGCGGGCGACAGCAUUGCUCGCAAGGCUUUAAUGGCAGGAUAUUGGUGGCCCACUAUGUUUUCUGAUGCACACCAAUUUGUUCGUCAUUGUAAUCCCUGUCAACAAAUUGGUCGACCCACGAGCAUUUCAGCCAUGCCGUUAGUACCAAUCUUGGCACAUGCAUUGUUUGAAAAAUCAAGUAUUGAUUUUGUCGGUCCCAUCGCACCAACGUCAAAACCUAGCAAAAAAUGCUAUAUUUUAGUUGCCACAUACUAUGUAACAAAAUGGGCAGAUGCUAUUACUAUUCGCCAUCAUAAUGUCAGUACUGUCGCCACUAUUUUUUACGAGAAUAUUAUAAUUCUAUUUGGAUGUCCGAAAGAAUUAGUUAGUGAUCACGACACCUAUUUUAUAAAUGCUACCAUAGCUGCAUUGACGAACAUAUAUGAGAUUAAGUACCAGAAAACCACUCCAUAUCAUCCUUGCACAAAUAAGCAAACAGAAAAGACCAAAGGAAUUUUGUGCAAGGUCUUGACUAAGACAAUUUUGAGAGUAGGUACCAAUUAGGAGAGCAAAUUCUUUGCAGCUUUGUAGGCGUAUCGUACCACAUAUAAAGUAACUACCAACACUACAUCGUUCCAAAUAGUUUACGGACAAGAGGCAAUUUUACCUAUCGAGUUGGAGGUUCAAAGUUUACGGAUUGCUUUGGAUGGACGUCUUGGUGACAACGAGUCAUUACAUUCUUGGUUGGCAAAAUUAGAGGAAUUGGAUAAAAUACUGGCUACAGCUCUUUUCCACAUGGAAGCAACUCAAAAAUGGAAGAAGAGUUACUAUGAUAGUAAACUGCGUCCAAAGAUUUUUAUGCCUAAUGAUUUGGUAUUAUUAUAUGAUAGCCGGUUUAAACAUUUUUUGGACAAAUUUUAAGUUCACUGGUAUGGACCGUAUUGGGUGAUUGAAAGUUUUUCCAAUGGGUCUGUUCAAUUGGAAGAUUUCAUGGGCCAUCGAUUUAAUAUCCACAUUAAUAGGAAUUAAUUAUGAUUAUUUAAUAUAUAAUAAUCGAGACGAGUUUUAAUUAUUUUUAGAGAGAAACGGACAGUAUGGGUAACAUGUUAUCAUUAUCACCAGGUAGUAAAAGAAUAAGAGUGGAGCACCAGUUAAAGUCAUUCUGUGGUGUUGUUUUGGAUUGUUUUCCUAAGAUUGCCAUUUCUUGUGUUUCUUCUGUAUUCGAGAGUAGUAGUUCCAGUUAAAAGUUAACAGUGAAUAGUCGGUCACAAGUGUCAAUUGAAGAUGUUACAGAAUGGAUGAAUCAGCAGCACCAUCAAUUGGAACUUUGGGAUGUCCAAAUCUUAAAACUGGAAGCUCAGAUCAGUGAAUUGGGAGAGUAUAAUGAAGAUCUAUCAAACCAGUUGAGAAAGGAGUCAAUGAAAGGAUUAGAGGAAGAAGAAGAUUUGUAAUU
rnacentral:lncRNA from 1 species